AAUUCCGUCCAAGGCUAAA
rnacentral:snRNA from 1 species